CCUGCUUUGUUUUCCCCGGACUGUUUUUCACGGUUGGUGGCAGGAAAGUUUCUUGCCACUCCCUUAUCUGAGGUUUAUGUCAGGGACUGCUGGUACGCGGUGCUCCCUUAGAACUCGCUCCAGUUUGGCAGCGCUCGCUCUUCUUGAGUCACUGCAACGCGGGCAGGGAUUUUCCUCUACGUUGGAUGUAGGAGCAGGGUGAGGAAGGUGACCGCAGACACUUCUGAAGAGAAAAGCGUUACCCUGCCUUGUUCCCGGGUGCCCGCAUCUGUCCAGCAGCACGGUGGUGAAGCAACUUUGUACUUUGUCUCAGCCCUAGUUCUCCUGGUUUGGUACAACUGGACAUAUUUGGAAGACCUCCAUUCUUCUUCCUUUGUCCUACCCAGCUACCUGAUAUCGUCUGGAAAUAAAGCUAAGAGGCAGGAUUGGUCUCAAGGUAUGUUAGCGAAGUAGAAGACAAAAGUAUUACUGUUUUGUCAUGUAUAUGAUGUCAAGCUGUAAAGCCUCUGAAACGUAUGAAGGGUGGUCUACGGGUUAAGACACCUUUGCUGUGAAAGAUCCAGGUUAGGCCUCAGAAGGGAGGGCAGUGGGAAGCGACCCUCUGCGGCUGUGGACAGGCAAGGUCGUGGCAGUGAUUAAAAAAAAAAAAUUGUUGUACGUAAUGACAAUCCAGAUAUGCCCACUGGAAAUUCUUUAAGGUAAGUUUUUUCUUUAUUUCUCUCCUCGCAUUGUAACCUGAGUCUGAGUGACAUAUAAGGCUUCAUGCAGUUCAGUCAUCAGACUUUAUCUGCCUUCUCUGGAUGCUUUCUUGGUCAUAGCAGCCACUGAAGCUCUAUCCUUAAGGGCUCUGAUUCUCAUAUUAAUAUAACUCAGUGAUUA
rnacentral:lncRNA from 1 species